CUUUUUUCAUGCAGUAAUACCGCCCCCCCAGAUGACUGUACCUGAAAAAGUUAACAUUUAUGCUUUCAAUGACAGUGGGAAUGAUCCAGCAAAACCUGAGAACUUGAUACCAAAAUCCACGAGGGAGUCAAAUGUCCUUAUAUCUAAGAAAGCAUUCCCCACUGCAGCUGAAGCCACAAGCCUUUGCCUUUUGAAAAUACCAGCUCCAGCUGCCUUUUGCAUUGACCAUUUGUGAGACUCCCAACGGAAAACUGUAAAGUUGUGAGGUAGCAGCUACCACAGAGAGCAAAAGGAAGCAAACUGACAACAGAUCCAACAAAUAUGUUCAACUAGCAACAGAGGUGGCAGGCAAGUCAGAGAGCAAUCCUGAACGCUUUAUCAAAAUGAACAGGAGCAGCACAAGAGCCCAGAUGGGAUUGCACCUUGAAUCUCUCCUGCACCCAAAGCAGUUCGGACGCUUCAGGUGUCUUUCCCCAAUUUACUUUUAACCUUGCCCCUGUCCCCAUUCCCCUAUUGCUUUGCAAUCUAGGUAAGCCAUUAAACAAACAAACAAAAAACAACAACAACCAAAACAAAACCUGCACACUCAAUUCCUUUCUUAGGUCUAAAAAAGGAGUGUAUGCACUAGAUCAUAACACACAUAUCAAAAACAAGUACUUUCUACUUUGUUCCCACAAAUUGCAGGCUUCUAGCUAGCUAGCUAUUUUUAAUGCUUUUAUAAGCAUCUCACAUCAUUGAUAUAUACUUGAAAUAGCAGUUAUAAAAUAUAGUUUUGUGGGAUUCCCUUCUGUUGUAUAUCACAGGCACUAAAUGCUUUUAUAUAUCAUUCAUAAUCAUUGGGAGGGGGCGCAAUCUACCAAGUACUUCCCCUGCCAAGCCCCACUGAAAUGAAUGGGAGCGACACAAGAGCUACAACCAUCCUUUCUGUGGGGCUUGUACAGGGGACUUCUGGCGAAUUGUGCUUUUGGUGUUUUGUUUUUAAAUCCAAAAAGGAGUUUCAAAUACAUUCUAUCUGGGAAAUGAUAAAGAGGGUUUAACACUAAAAGUAAGGCUGGAAGAGAUGUGGGGAUGUCUUCACAGGUUGAUGUCCCUCACAUCUGUGGGAGUGCUGGACUGAUCCAGUUCAUCCACUGUCUUUGAAGGAUUGCCUUGCUGCUGCUGCCGCCGAACUUCCUGAAGGUUGCUUACUAGAACCGACUCAAUCUGUUCCUGACACGCCUUCAGACAGUCCUAGGAAAGCGGAAAAACAUUAUAUUGGAUUAUUGCAUCAUGCCCUCCCUGCCCCAACAGCCUUUUAUAGAUCCAGACAGGACCAUACUUGUAAGAAGUCCCACCAAUGAUCACUAAGUACUCCCCAAUGAUUUCAUGGACACGUGCCAGCCACUGCCAAUAUUAUGCUGACCAAGAAGGUCAGGCAAGAAGGUACUCAGCCACUCCACCUCAGUUUUGACAGCAUGGCCUGUGGGGAAAACGCAGCGGGAAAGGUAAGGACACCCUCCCCAUGCCUUAAAGCAACCCCCCCCCUCCAAAUUAGCUCAAAUGCCGGCAUUUCGAAUCGGUUUGGCGCUCCAUAAAAGGAGUGCCGAACUGGUUCCAUGCACAUCCCUACUCAUUAGCUGCUUUCCCAAAGGAAGGACUUCUCAAAUCAUCAUGUAUCUCUGUGUGGGCCUCCUUUAACAACAUUUGUGUUUACAAUUAAUCUGAUACACAUGGGAGGGGGCUACACUGACCCCAACAGGGUUGUUUUUGUUUUGCUGAUCUGCAAUCUUAUUUCAAGAUGGCAGUCAGUCAAAGUAUAGACAACACCCAUUUGAAGCUGAUGUGCUGACAGAAGGAGCGGAGCCACCAUUGGGUGAAUGGGUUCAAAGAACCUGGGCUGCCACCCACAUGGGCCGCUGGACACGCCCUCCGUGUCUGAUGUCAGACAUGGGGGGGGGGCCCACGUUAUUUUGGUCCCAAAUGGGGCCCCGUUUGGGACCAAAAUCAGCCCGCACGGCAUUGGCAGUGUGGCUGGAGUGAGUCUCCCUGCCUUUUAAAGGCAGGGAGAGUCGUUUUUAAAGCCAGGGAGCCGUUUUUAAAGGCCUUUUAAAGGCAGGGAGAGCCGUUCCUGGGAAAGUCACUUUGGCCUACGCUGCUCAACGCAGCGCGGGCUGAUCUCCCUUCCAAAUGGGGCCAUGUGGCCCCAUUUGGGAGGGAGACCACACCCCUGCAUCUGAUGUCAGACGAGGGACGUGGCUAGCCAGCCCCUUGCAUCUGACAUCAGAUGCAGGCGGUGGGGCCAGAGACAGUCAGAUACAAACCAAAUUCACAGCAUGGACACACAUGGGUCCUAGGCAAGAAUGGGCAUAUUAGAAGUGGCAACUAGCUUAUAUUAGUUCUACUCAGACUACCUUUUUUCUUUUGUAAGAGAAAUUGUACCAUUUGAUGGUUCUCUCUUUUUUUUUACUAGCACAAUUGUAUUCUUACAAACAAGUGAAGUCAUUUUAAAUUAAAAAGCAAAAGGUAAAAGAGAUGAGGUUACUAUUUUUUAAAGCAAUUCCAUCUAUGCAUUUUUACUGCAUUCCAUCUAUGCAGAAAGGAGCCAUAGUAAUGGAAGUGCAACCGAGGAGUGCAUAGUAAACAGUGCAAAAAGGUGGGGCAGAAGGACAUCAAAAAUUGCCUUAUGGAGUUCUCCUCCCACUACUCCUACUAAUGCACUGUCCUUUGUCAGCUACUGGAAAGUUCUACAGUUGCAUUUAAUGUCAGAGGCUUACACGCUGUACAGCAUUACAGAGACAUAAUGCUACCCCGCGAGGCCUGCUCCUAAGGCUGCGUAAAUGGUGCCACUGCUGUCUUCCUCACUGUGGUGAAUGGGGGGAACUGUGGUAGUGCUGCUUCUGCAACUGUUGCUUCUGAACAGGGUCACGGUUGCCUUAAGGGACUGCAGCAGUCCAGGAGAGUUGGUCUUGUGGUAGCAAGCAUGACUUGACCUCUUUGCUAAGCAGGGUCUGCCCUAGUUGCCUAUGAAAGGGAGACUCCAUGUGUGAGCACUGUAAGCUGCUCUGGAAAGAGCACCUGCCUGCUUGCAUUCAGAAAGUUUCGAGUUCCCUCACUGGCAUCCCCAAGAUAGGGCUGAGAGAGAUUCCUGUUUGCAACCUUGGAGAAGCCACUGCCAGCCUAGGUAAACAAUACUGAGCUAGAUGGACCAAGGGUCUGACUUGGUAUAUGGCAGCUUCCUACGUAGGGGUGUGUUGUUACAUCUCUGUAAUGUUGUGCAUCAUGUAAGCCAAUAAAAUCACCAUAAACUAAGCCUUUAAAGAGAUGGGAGGACAAGGCAGAGGUGCUCAUUGUGAGGAGGGUGGAGGUUAUAAUUCUAAGAAUGCCCUAUCCUGUCCUGGAUAAGGCUGCACUCCCUCAGGGAACAGUUUGGGAGUGCUUCUGUUCUGGAUCCAGGCCUCUCUUUGGUACUAGUGACCAGGAGCACUUUUAAUCAGUUCUGGCUGAUACGGCAGCUGCAUCUGUUUCCAGGAGAGAGUAGUUGACACAGUGACAAGAGCUACACUAAGUACUGUAGUUCCAUUGAAAUUAAGAAGACAAGUCAAGUCAUUUUAAUUUCAAUGGGACUAGUCUGAGGAAUUUCCAUCAUGUCAGCCAAUAAUCUUAAGAUGGGUGCACAUGCUGGUAACUUCUUGGCUUCAGUACUGCAAUGCGCUCACACUAUGUGGGAUUGCCUUUGAAUUUAGUCUGGAAACUCCAGUUAGUACAAAAUUGGACAGUCAGGAUUGUCUCUAGGGUAACUCAGAGAGACCAUAUGACUUCUGUUUUAAAAUCAUUGCAUUGGUUGUGGUUUUGUUUGGGGGCACAAUACAAAGUGCUGCUGCUUAACAUUAAAGCGCUAAAUGGCUUGGGAACCAGCUACCUAGGAUAACGCCUCCUUCUGCAUGAUCCCCACCACUCAUUUGUAAGGUCUACCUGCAUAUGAAUCAGGCUUUUGUUGUGGUUUUUAAUCAUUUUAAUCCAUUGUGUUGUAAACUAACAAUUUAAUGACUGACGGUAUACACAUGUAAUAAAUACAAACACACACAGAAAACACUGGAAUACAACAGUUUGGCAUUUAUUUUGUCUGGAUUCUCCAUAAACAACUGAGUGGAUCAAUGACAUCCAUUCCAAAGGCAAUGGCUACUAUAGCAGCCCAAGAAAGAAUCAACUUAGUCACUGCCUGGGGCUGGUCAUAUGGUUCAAAAACAGAGAGUGUAUUUGUUCUGUUGGUUAAAAAUAUACUAGAAACACAUACUCCUCACUGCCUGCCACCCUCUCUUUCCCUUACACACACAGGACUGUGCCCAAUAUGUCUGUCACUGUACUGACCCGGGCCUCACUUUUCACAGAAGCACUGGCAGACAGGUGGCACAGAGGCCCACACAACAGGCACUGCUGCUACCUAGAAUCAAAUGACUGGGGCUUCCAAGUGGGCGCAGCACUGGCUUGUUUCUCUACUUAAGAAGAGCGUACCCACUGCUCUGUACUGAUUGUUG